UACGAAGGGGGCUAGCGUUGCUCGGAAUCACUGGGCGUAAAGGGUGCGUAGGCGGGUCUUUAAGUCAGGGGUGAAAUCCUGGAGCUCAACUCCAGAACUGCCUUUGAUACUGAAGAUCUUGAGUACGGGAGAGGUGAGCGGAACUGCGAGUGUAGAGGUGAAAUUCGUAGAUAUUCGCAAGAACACCAGUGGCGAAGGCGGCUCACUGGCCCGGUACUGACGCUGAGGUGCGAAAGCGUGGGGAGCAAACAGG
rnacentral:rRNA from 1 species